rnacentral:lncRNA from 1 species
UAAAGUUAUCUUGUAUGUAGCACCUAGAAGAUGGAUCCCAACAGGCGUCAAGGUGGAAUCCAGCAAUUGCUAGCAGCUGAGCAAGAAGCUCAACAGAUUGUGAAUGCUGCAAGAAAUGGUAAUGUUCUUUGGGGCUUAUUUCACCUUUGUGCAUGUGUUGUUCUAAAAGCAUAAUGUGAAGGGGGAAAAAAAGAAGAAAAGAAACAUCAUCAUUCACUGGCAAGUUGCAAGCAUGUAGCUUCUUUUAAUAAAUCUCUGUUGUGCAAUACAAGCUCUCGUUGCUUUGGUGACAUUAAUAUCUUUUUUUUUUUUUGGUUAAUAACUAAUGAAGCAUGAUAGUUGAAGCAUUUUUCACAGUGUUUUUUGUCUUCCCAUUCUCUAAACGAGAUGUGAAUGACUUUAUUUUUGGAUUGGUGCGAUGCAUUCGUUGUCAAUAAUUUUUCUAAUUUACUACCCAGUGAAUAUAUUACUAAUACAUAAGAAUAUUUUAGACAUCUUUACCAUAUUGGCGUUAUCAAAUGAAAAAGCAUAAUACCUGUUUAUUAUUCCUCUCUUUAGUUCUUCGUCAGUUCUUCCAUUUAGAUUUGAGUUAUUUUAAACCAUGUCAGGUGCUGGAGAAGUAAUCUUGCUUUUUGAGUGUCAACCUCUCUGCAUAGUGUUAGGAUAUUUUGAAGUGGUUUACACAUAUGCUUUAGUUAGGCAAUGUUUGGCUCUAUGUAAGACUAUCAAAAAGGGGGUAAAGUAUUUUUUUCAUGGAAAAGGAAAAUUAUGGCUUAUGAACAUGGUUAGGCCAUUUAUGCGUGAAAAUGUUUCUAACUACGGAUAAUUUAUCAAGAUACACAGCUAUCAUUGAUAUAAAUAAAUGUUACUAAACUAACAUAUUUUAAAUAAAUAUUUGGAAUGAAGGAGUCAUUCAAUAAUAAUAAUAUUAGGAUAUGACAUACAUAAUAAGCUUGUCUUUUAGUGACAUUUAUCAAAUGCUGCAUUAGGAUUUGGAAAUGCUGCCUGAAACUAUCAUCAUUUCUUUUCUAUCCUGGUAAUGGCGAUCAUUUAUUUGCCUUACCACAAUUCUGGUUAUAGGUAUGCACAUAUGCUACUAGUAAAAUGAUGCUAAAUCAUGAGAUUGUUUUAGUAAAUACUUUUGAGAGUUGUCAAUAUUAAUUGGACCUGUCAGUUUAAACUUGUAUGUUAAGUGCAUUUUAUGAUAUUUUGAGACUGAAAGAUUAAGCCAUUGGUGAUCCAUAUCUGAUCAAAUUGAAACUUGGAGAACAUGAAACGCAAGACAACACGAAACUUGGCUUUUAGAUACUUGAAAUGCUCUACAUCAUACUUAAUGGUAUGGAUCAUAUAUUCCGUAGUAUCAUUGUCAAUAAUGACUUAUAACGAGGUGCUUAUACUCAUAAAAUUAUGUAAAUUUAGCUUCCAAUUAGACAAUGAUGUAUACUCAAAAUAUAUAAACAGGGAUAUAAUGUUUAAUUUGAACAUCCAAACAUGUAUAUGCAUGUACGCAAAAAGAAAGCACUACAGUUGCUUGCAUCCAUUUAUUUAAUUGAAAAAUUGAUAAUGCAAUCUAUGGUGGUGCAAGCACAGCCAGGUAUCUUCAAUUUAUUCAGAGUAGAAAACUAGGCAUCUAUAAUGAAUCUCUUUCAAUUUGGAUUAUUGUUGUACAGAGAAGAUCAUUGAUGUUAAUUACAUAUGUAAAAAGCCUAGUAUAUUCAUAAACUAUUCAAACCUUUUCCACAUUUUGAACCUUCUUAAAAUGUUGUAUAUGAAAAGCCAGCAUCUAAGAUUGUGUCAAUAUAGUAUCCAAUAAAGACACCUAGCCCUUGUUUGGUUGGGGGUUAAGGGGUGGAAUAACCCUUUAACCCCCAUAUUAUCCCCAAACAUCCCAAAAAAUGGGUGGGGUUAGCUAACCCCACCUAACCCCACCUCAAAUAAAUUAUCCCGGGUUAGCUAACCCCACCUAACCCCACCAAACUCCAACCAAACACUAUUUUCUAUUCAUAAUAACCCACUAUCUUUCUUAUCCCACCUACUCCAACCAAUCAUUAUCCUUCUUUAUCAAUCAUUAUCUUCUUAUCCCACCUACUCCAACCAAACACUAUUUUUCAUUAUUCUAGACUAACUCCAACCCCCAACCGAACACAAAAAAACUUUAACCCCACUUUAACCCUGAACUUAACUCUAUCCCUAGAAUAGCUACUUUUUCCUUAACCCCGAACCAAACGGAGGCCUAGAGUAUCAAAUAGUUAAAGAUGG